UUAUCUGCGAAGCAAAGAAUUUAUUACUUGUCAAUGGUGUUCAUCUUUAAAAUUUUAAACGGUAUGCUGCCUCGCUAUUUGUGUGAUCGAAUUGAAAGAGGAAGUGAUGUUCAUAGAUACAAUACAAGAAUCGCGAACGAUGCUAGGACACCAAACUUUAUGUUUACUAGAUCGCAGAACUCGUUGUUAUAUAAAGGGAUUAAUUUCUACAAUUCGAUGCCCAGAGAAAUAAAACGUGCGGCAACAAUGGCAGAGUUUAAGAAAAUGUGUAUUUCACACAUGAAAUCUGUUUUGUGAACAGGUGUCAUAAACUACCAUGUUCGUACUGAUGAUGAUGAUGUUUUUCUUUUCAUUUUUUUAUUGCAUAUUUCAAGAAAAAAAAAUAACUAGAGUUGUCUACGAAAGUUUGAACCUCGCGCGCGUUUGGUGGGCCUGAACUAUGUUAAUGAUGAACACUGGCUGAAAAAUGAUACACAAUGAAUUUGUUGUAGGGUCUGUAGUGGAAGCUGGAAAGGGGAUAGCUCAUUCAGGAUUCUUGAAAACUGUCUUUUUAUCAGAUAGUUAUAUCAAGUAUUUCUGAAUUGUGGCAGAUCUCUUUUAUGUUCUAAGCAGAAACUAUCAGACAUUGGGUUCAAUUCCAAAUCAGUCAAGGAUCUUCCCGGGUUGGAAAUUUUCUUGACAUGCCUUGAAAAAAAAUUGGGCCUGAAGUUGAGAUUAUGUCGAAACGAAUUGGAACAUUGUUUGUUUUUAUUUUACAGUUUUUGCCUAUUUACAAUGUUUAAUAGAAAUUUAUGCCUGCAACCGAGCCAGUUCACUUAGAUUGUUGUUUUUUAAACCCUGGUUUCUUUAUUGUUUCAAACAUAAAUAUUAUCUGUAAGAUAAAUCGGCCUGUUCAGACCUUUGUAGGGGUAUGAGGUGGGCCAUCAUCAUCAUCAUCUUAUCUUAAUUGGAGCUUAUCGCGUGCUAUAACAUACUGAUCACUUUAGAUCGCGCGUUGCCGUUGCGUUGCAAGGAUACCAGAUAUGACAACACAUCUUCAUUCUGUAAAAAGUUGAAUUGUGAGAUAUUUAAUUUAGUAAUAAAUUGUAUGUAUUCGGAGGCUAUCUGGCGUAGUGGUAACAUCCAUACCUCUCACGCUGAAGGUUACGAGCUCAAUUCUCACUCCCGACAUUCUUCCAAAAAUGGAAGUAAAAGUGACGAACCAACCAAAAAGCGUUGAAAGUCACUAUAAUACAGAUAAAGAAAAAAUGGAAUGUAUGCGAUAUUUUUCUCAAAAAACCUUCAAUCGAACAUCAAAAUUGAAAGUGCAGCAAAUGAAAUAUUUCUCUUUGACUCAUUUGAUGGCAUUUGAUUACUUUUUCUCAGGUAUCUUAUAUUGUUUUUGAUUCACUCAAUCAACGGCAAUCUUCAUGUGCAUAUAUUUUUCUGAACACUUUAUGAUAAGCCACGGUCAACGAUAUCGAAGAUCGUUUUUUCCUGUGAACAUUGUAUUGUGCGUCUAUCCCCUAACUGAACACGACGGUUAGAAAUAGUCGCGCUUCAAACGGCCGUGAGAAUAGUCGCGUUUGCUUUUGACGGAUAAAUAUGUUAUAUCUACUACUACCUGGGAUUAUCCCAAUUUACGUGAAGUGCAAACUAACCAUUUGUUCCUGGAAUGUAUUUUAUGAACGAGAAGGAAUAAUAAGACUUAGCAAACGACAGAGCACUUUUCGAAAGUUUGAUGUAAACAAACGAAUCUGGCUGAUGAACCUGGUUCUAUACUACAUGCAUAUGAAAAUACUUCGAAACCUUUCGAGGGAAACUAUGCAGAUACGCCAAGUUGACAUCGAAAUCAAAAUUAUGAAUUAAGUUGUUUUCAAUGAGAAUAGAGAAAUCAUGCGCAACCGAUGAUACGCAAUAUACGAGUUAUAGGACAGAAGUUAAUGUUUGAAGAAGAAUUUUGCCGGAACCAAAAAUUUCGUGUCUGCUUUUUAUGGCAUUUAUGUCAUGGAUCUUUUCAAUUGUAAAGUGUGAUUAUAUCCAGAUAAAUUAUCAGUGUAGAUGAUGGAUUUUGCUCGUAUCCAUUGUGAUGCGAAUAUCAUACAGUAUUCGCGCUUCUUGGGAAUAAUUCCUAUCUUCUGGUCGGAUAACUGUCCGUUUCACUACGCAAUUGAAGUUAUUUUCAGUUUGACUGAUACACAUUUUAGAAAGAAUGAGGUGUUCAACGCACACUUAUCAAAUUUAUCUAAAUGACUGCAAUAAAUUAUUUACAAAAUGCUGUUAUAUUUUUGGCGGUAAAUUCAAU